GGGACUGCAGUAGGGAUCGUAAGAAUAGAUCGGCGGGGGGACCGAAGGGGGCGGAGGAGGAGGGUAGGACGACGACGGCGGUGGAAGGUAGUGGAAGGAGCCGGAGUGGUUGAAUUGCGGUUGCGGGUCUUGUGGGGACGGGAAGGAGUUGGAAGGGUAGAGAUAAGGCGGUGGAGGUUGGUACGGGCUUUGGUAUGGGUUGGGGACGGGAGGAGGUGGAGAAGGAUGAUUUGGGUAGCCGUACGGAGAGUAAGGAUACGGAUUAUCCAUCGACUUCUUCUUCCUCUGCUUCUCCC
rnacentral:lncRNA from 1 species